AAAAAAAAAACACAAAACACUAUUCCAGCAAAUAAUUUUUUAUAAGUGCGACUACAUUGAUUUAAUCCGCUUUGUCAAAACAUGAAACUAGUUCUUUCAAAAAUCCGAGUUGUCCAAAUGAUAUAUUCCGCGCCAUGAGAAAUGCAAUUCUUGAGAUCUUGUGCCAUCUUUCCAGCAUCUUUGGCUGCUGGCAGCUGGAACAUUUCGUUGUUGACGGCUAUGCCGUGAUUUGGUGGUUAUGUUGGUAACUGGUUCAAUGGUUGUGUUUAUUUUUUCCCCCUCUCUCGAGAGAGGUGAGAAUUGCUAGGGGAGAUGGGCUGUGGUGGUGGUCCGUGGGUUUCAGUGCGUUAAGUGUGUGAUCGGUGCCACUCCAUCUCCUCUGCGUGUUGAUGAGGGCGGUUUUUCUCGUCGCCAUCCAACGAGGGAUGUCCAGUCUUUUUGCCUUCCGUUGCUUUCCCUUUUGUUUUUGCGCGACUUUCGCCUUUGGUGGAGUUACUAGUGGCGUGGACCUGGACGGUUGCGUUGGCUUCUGUGAUCGCUUGAGUCUGUCGGAGUUGUCGCUUUUCGUGUUCUUUUAUUUUUUCCCGAUCCUGGCAGCUGGAUCGUUUCAUUGUUAACGGCUAUGCCGUGGUUUGGUGGGUAUGUUGGUAACUGGUUCAAUGGCUAUGUUGGUGUUGGGCGUGCCAUGGCAGAAUUGCGCUGGGCAGUUGGGUUUUUUUUUUUAGAGGGAGAUGAGAAUUGCCAGGGGAGAUGGGUUGCGGCGGCGGUCCGUGGGUUUUGGCUUUGUUGAGUACAGAGGCAUUAUUCUUCUAUUACAAAGAAAAAAUAGCAACAUCGACCUGGAGGAGGGGAGAGACAGAAGGAGAUUAAAAUUAUCGACUUUGACUGAGUAUGGAAAGGAGCAGGACAUUGGAAUCGAAGCAUUGGAAGCCAUGCUUAUGGAUAUGAUGAAUUCAGAGGUUCUCCUCCCUUUCUUUCUUUUUGAUUUUUUCGAAGUAAACAAACCAAUGAUAUGCAAUGGCAGAAAUUCAUUCUAGCGAGAGUGGCAUUAAUACUUCUAACCGUGGCUUCAAGAUAUCAAUAUCUCCACAGGUUAGAUUGGCAGGCUGUUCAUCAUGGUGCUGUGUUUUUUCUAUUCCCCGGAGUUUGGUCAUUUUCUUAUGCCAUGCUCCUUUAGCUGUGCUGUUUUAUCAGUUUUAUUUUCAGUGGGAAAAGGAGGUGAACAGGGAGCUGUCAGCUGUGAGUUCUGUCAAGAUCUAUAUAUGGUUUGCUGUGUAUGCUCAAUCUCCCUAAAUUUAUUAUUUUAUUGCUAAAGCUUGCCAUGGAAAUCGAUUCCAACAUGGCAUCAUAAUUGAUAGCAGCCAGUAAAACUUUGACCUCUAACACGUUUAUUUUCUAACAAAAUAGAUAAUUUUGUCAUUAAGUUUAAAAGUUUAAAUCUUUUAUAUUUGGUUAAGCUGUCAUCGUGAUUGCCUUAUAAUUGUGUUCCCUGUGUUCUUUUUUCCCCUGUCAGGUGGGGAGUGAUAAGAGUGAAUUUUGGGCUUUUGAGUGAGAAUUCUUUAUGUUUUUUUUUUUUUUCUGAAUUUAGGAUUUUCAAGAGCCAAGAGUUUACUUGACCGAGAUCGCAGACUGAUUGAUUAUGGCAUGUACUAUUGAGGAAAGAAAUAGCAGACCAUACCUUCAGGCAAUUCUGAGCUUUUUUUUGCCAACGGAAAAGAUAGCAAACAAGAUCUGUGGCUGCGGUUGCACUGGGGCAUCCAUUCCUUUUCUUUUCUUUCUGAGAUUUAGGUGGUUGAUGGAGAUCGCAGGGAAACUGAAGCUGCUGGAGGACUGCUCUGCCACCCCAAAUCCAAAUUGUGGAUGCAGUCUUAAUCAACUUUUUUGCAGCUACUGUUAUGGAAAUGGAUCAAACCACUUAAUUUUUGUGACAAGGAUCAAGGAGGUUUGCUUUGGAUCCAGUCGACCUUUUAGUUUUUCUGUGUAUGAGACAUGAUGCAAGCAGCAGCGCACCUCAGCUCCAUUAUCCACCGACCGCAAGUGAAGAGGGAAAAAAAAGCUGUUGGAGGAAAAUCCCAAACCUCCCAGAUCCUCACUCGAUUCCUUAAAAAUCAGAGCAAAAGUACCAACAUGAUCUGAUUCUUCUUUUUUCUCUAAAAAAUACCACAUUGUGAAGUAGUUUCUUGACUGGUCAGAUUCGUCUCAUCUCGCCAAAAAAUUUCAAGAUCUGUCUCCUCCGACCAUCUUCUCUUCUCUACUGUCAAAACUAAUUUCCCUUCCUUUUUUCUACCCGAUACGCGUUUCCAUGUUUUUGAUCUUGUAGAUCUGUUUAGAAAGGUAUUUGUUCUCAUUAUUUCUGUUGCUUUCACCGUGAAGAGUUUGUCCUGCAUUCUGAACUUGUUCAAAAUUACACGAUGAUCUGGCAUCUCCUUGUUUUGUCGUUGCCGAAAUAAAGAAAUGGGUGUUUUUUUGUUCAA